rnacentral:rRNA from 1 species
GACGAACGCUGGCGGCGUGCCUAAUACAUGCAAGUUGAGCGCUGAAGGUUGGUCCUUGUACCAACUGGAUGAGCAGCGAACGGGUGAGUAACGCGUGGGGAAUCUGCCUUUGAGCUGGGGACAACAUUUGGAAACGAAUGCUAAUACCGCAUAAAAACUUUAAACACAAGUUUUAAGUUUGAAAGAUGCAAUUGCAUCACUCAAAGAUGAUCCCGCGUUGUAUUAGCUAGUUGGUGAGGUAAAGGCUCACCAAGGCGAUGAUACAUAGCCGACCUGAGAGGGUGAUCGGACACAAUGGGACUGAGACAAGGCCCAAACUACAACGGGAGGCAGCAGUAGGGAAUAUUCGGCAAUGGACGAAAGUCUGAUCGAGAAACGCCGCGUGAGUGAAGAAGGGUUUCGGAUCGUAAAACACUGUUGGUAGAGAAGAACGUUGGGGAGAGUGGAAAGAUCAUCAAGUGACGGUAACUACCCAGAAAGGGACGGAUAACUACGUG